GCCGAAGUGGUGAAAUUGGUAGACACGCUACCUUGAGGGGGUAGUGGGCUUACGCCCGUGGAGGUUCGAGUCCUCUCUUCGGCACCA
rnacentral:tRNA from 1 species